rnacentral:tRNA from 1 species
GGUUCUAUAGUGCAGUGGUUAGCACGUCUGCUUUACACGCAGAAGGUCCUGGGUUCGCGCCCCAGUGGAGCCA